CAUGGUUGUCGUCAGCUCGUGCCGUGAGGUGUCGGGUUAAGUCCCAUAACGAGCGCAACCCUUAUCGUUAGUUGCCAUCUGGUAAUGCAGGGGACUCUAGCGAAACUGCCACCGUAAGGUGAGAGGAAGGUGGGGAUGACGUCAAAUCAGCACGGCCCUUAUGUCCAGGGCUACACACGUGUUACAAUGGUCGGUACAGAGGGCAGCUACCUGGUGACAGGAUGCUAAUCUCGAAAACCGGUCUCAGUUCGGAUCGAAGUCUGCAACUCGACUUCGUGAAGCUGGAUUCGCUAGUAAUCGCGCAUCAGCUAUGGCCGCGGUCGAAUACGUUCCCGGGCCUU
rnacentral:rRNA from 1 species